GAAGCGAGAGAGAAGAGUGGAGAAAAGCGAGGAAGCGGGUGGUCGCAGUUGGUGGGCAUUACCGCUCUCCGGCAGAAGGGGGCACCUCUCGGGCCGGGACAGCCUUCCACAAGGGCCGGGGCGGGACGUCCGGGCGGAAUCCGCCCUCGGGCAGGGGCUCCGGGGUGCUGGGCGCCCCCUCCUGGCGGCUGCGCGGCGCUCACCUCCGCGGUCCCGCGGGUGCUGGGGUCCCGCGCCGGCUCGGCCCGCGGCGCCGGGGACCGGGAGGUGGUGCGGCGGAGGGAAGUCGGGAGACGGAGGUGGUGUGAGGGUGCCAGGGUGGCGGGCAGGCUCCCUCCCCUCCCGCGCUCUACCCCGCGCGCUCCUCACCUGGGGCCUGCGGGGCUCCUUCCCCGCGGGCACAGCUCCGGCGCGCCCCUCGGCGGCCCGGCUCCUACCCCAAGCCUAGCCGGCGGAGGAACCCGCCCUCCUCGCCGAGCAGUCGCCGUCUCCGCAGCCGCAGCAGCUGGGAGGGAGGGAGAGACCGGCGGCUGCUGCCGGGCGGCGUCUGGGGGCCGCGAGCCGAGCGCGAGGAGCCGCCAUCUGGAGCCUCGGCUGCGGGCGGGGGUGCGGGUGCCAGGGAAGGGGCCGGGCGACUGGGCCCGGGGCGCGCGGGGGGCUGGGGUCCGAGCGGCGUGGGAGCGGAGGCCUGGGGGUGUGAUGGGAAAUGUGCGGGAGGGGGUCUGGCCCCUGGGAAGGGGGAGCAGAGGCCUGCCCCCUUUCGAGCCCCCCUUGAAUCCCGGGGCAGUCCCGACCCGGAGUUCUAGCGAACGAGCGAGGCACCCGCGUGGCAGUCCCUCCUCCUCGCGGGGUGGAGAGCUGAGGGGGGGAGGGCGGUGUGGGGACCAAAACACUCUUACACGCUCACACACCCGCUGCCCAUCAGAAGUGGUUUUCUCAUUUCCCUUUCCUCCCACCUUGUCCAUCCCACUCCAGGAAACAGUCCCUUCCACACGGCGUGGGUUUUUGGACACCUCCACAUCACUCCAGAGAACUUUUUCAGCCAGAACGUGGGACAGACACUGA
ensembl:lncRNA